AUCAAAUCCACCUUGUUGGCCACGAGGAUCAUUGGGAAUGACUCCCUGGGAAGCAGGAGAACAAUAGCCAAGUGAGAUUCAUCCUCCUGCACUACCGACUCAAGGCGAUGUCAACAGGACUUUGUGCCACGCCACCCCACAAUAACUCCCCAGUGGGCCUCCUCUUUUCCAGAGAAGACAAAGGCUUGGAAAGGAGCCUGGGGUCUGUUGCAAGUGAGUACAUUAGGAGUUCCCCACCACUGGACCACCGAGGGUGUCUCUUCUGAGGUCCGUAUAUUCAUGGGCUGAAUGCACAGCAACCAAUCACAGAUUGCUCCGCAUGCCCUCGUCCCUCUGCCAGGUCAAGAAGUUACCUCCCAGUAGGCAACCUUUGAGCAAUGACUAAAUGCAGGACGGAUCAGAGUCAUGUGAUCCCGGGAGCAACAUUCCAGCAGAGUAAACACCCCCCAAAAAACUGAGAGUCUGGAACAACAGAAAGCAGAAUCCAGAGCACUUUGAGACUGACUGGAUGUGGAGUACUGAAGGCAUCUACCCUCAGGUUUGGCAGAUCUCUAGAUGGUAGCCAGCAGGGAAGCAGGACCUCGGGACACUGGUUGCCCAGGAAAAGCCUUGGCUGGUAUCAUCCCUGAGUUAGUGGUCCUGAGUUCUAUAAGAAAUCAGGCUGAGCAAGCUGUGGGGAGCAAGCCAGUAAGCAGCACCCUUCCAUGGCGUCUGCAACAACUCCAGCCUCCAGGUUCCUGUGCUGACUUCCUCUGACGAUGGACUGUGUUGAAGAACUGUAAGCCAAAUAAACCUUUUC